AGUCCAGUAGCAUAAUGGUUAAUGUAUCAGAAUUGAAUAUUCAAAGAGUGAAUUUGUUCUGAGCAUCCUUGUUCAAGUCAAGGCUGGACCA